ACUAGUUGCCCAAUGCUGCAUUUUGAUUGGCUGAAUGGAUCUUUUUUAUGCUGUCAUAGUCGCACAUCGACAGUUAUGAGAAAAAACAUGUUUAGUGUGGUGAAGGGGCAGUUUAAAGCGGGUGAUGUCAAAGAUGGUCAUGCUAUGGGGACGGACAGUCAAGCCGUUGGGUGGCACUGAGACGGAAGGAGAAAAGGUGUUACAUUUUCAACUGCACCUUCUCCCAAAGCGGCAAGCUACCUUUUCAAGGGGAGUUUGUUAACCUUCCAACCACUUUUAACCCAUUUUCCAGUGUAAAAAUAAGAAAUGCAGCUGUGUCACCAUGAGGUCAACAAGAGAGAAAAACCCUACUGAAAUCUCCCAGAUGGAUUGAGAGGGGCUAAAGAGUAAACUCGGGACCAUCUUCUGUGGCUGAAAGGACUAGGGGACUUCACAGGGCACUUUCAGAUAAGGAGGAGAGCAAGAGAUGUCAUGGACAACUGCAUGUUUGAAAUGAGCUCAGGCAGAGACCAGGAUCCUACAAAAAAGACAUGAAACUGAAUCCUCACCUUGACACCCCCAUCUCCUCCUGCUUGCAUGUGCCCCCACUAAUAUCUGUGCCCUUGCCCUGGAAUCCUGUCUCCCCUACCCUGGUCACAACUACGUCCUUGCACUGGAAUCCCUUGCCCUCACCUGAAGUAAACAAAAAUCCACCUGCACGACCCCACCAGCUAAAGAAGCACAUCAGCUCGAGCAGCUCCCUGGCCUGUGAGGUUUGCAUCAAGACAGUGUAAUUUUAGGGAAAAUACAAUUUUUCUUAAUCUAACAAAGUUCUU